CCCGGUAAACGGCGGCCGUAACUAUAACGGUCCUAAGGUAGCGAAAUUCCUUGUCAGGUAAGUUCUGACCCGCACGAAUGGCGUAAUGACUUGGGCACUGUCUCAACUGCAAAUCCGGCGAAGUUGUAGUGCGAGUGAAGAUGCUCGCUACCCGCGAUUGGACGGAAAGACCCCGUAGAGCUUUACUGUAGCUUAGCAUUGAAUUCCGGUAUUGUCUGUACAGGAUAGGUGGGAGACUGGGAAACUAGGGCGUCAGCCUUAGUGGAGUCAACCUUGGGAUACCACCCUGACAGUACUGGGGUUCUAACAGGACGCCAUGAAGCUGGUGACUGGACAUUGUUAGGUGGGCAGUUUGACUGGGGCGGUCGCCUCCUAAAAAGUAACGGAGGCGCCCAAAGGUUCCCUCAGAAUGGUUGGAAAUCAUUCGAAGAGUGUAAAGGCAGAAGGGAGCUUGACUGCGAGACCUACAAGUCGAGCAGGGACGAAAGUCGGGCUUAGUGAUCCGGCGGUGCUGAAUGGAAAGGCCGUCGCUCAACGGAUAAAAGCUACCCUGGGGAUAACAGGCUGAUCUCCCCCAAGAGUCCACAUCGACGGGGAGGUUUGGCACCUCGAUGUCGGCUCAUCGCAUCCUGGGGCUGUAGUCGGUCCCAAGGGUUGGGCUGUUCGCCCAUUAAAGCGGUACGCGAGCUGGGUUCAGAACGUCGUGAGACAGUUCGGUCCCUAUCUGUCGUGGGCGCAGGAAAUUUGAGAAGAGCUGUCCUCAGUACGAGAGGACCGGGAUGGACGCAUCAAUGGUGGACCAGUUGUCACGCCAGUGGCAUAGCUGGGUAGCUAAAUGCGGAAGGGAUAAACGCUGAAGGCAUCUAAGUGUGAAACCCACUUCAAGAUGAGAUUUCCCAUUGCGCAAGCAAGUAAGACCCCUUAAAGACGAUAAGGUAGAUAGGUCAGGAGUGUAAGCAUGGUGACAUGUUAAGCGGACUGAUACUAAUAGGUCGAGG
rnacentral:rRNA from 1 species